ACUCCUACGGGAGGCAGCAGUGGGGAAUAUUGGACAAUGGGCGAAAGCCUGAUCCAGCCAUGCCGCGUGUGUGAAGAAGGUCUUCGGAUUGUAAAGCACUUUAAGUUGGGAGGAAGGGCAGUUACCUAAUACGUAAUUGUUUUGACGUUACCGACAGAAUAAGCACCGGCUAACUCUGUGCCAGCAGCCGCGGUAAUACAGAGGGGUGCAAGCGUUAAUCGGAAUUACUGGGGCGUAAAGCGCGCGUAGGUGGUUUGUUAAGUUGGAUGUGAAAUCCCCGGGGCUCAACCUGGGAACUGCAUUCAAAACUGACUGACUAGAGUAUGGUAGAGGGUGGUGGAAUUUCCUGUGUAGCGGUGAAAUGCGUAGAUAUAGGAAGGAACACCAGUGGCGAAGGCGACCACCUGGACUAAUACUGACACUGAGGUGCGAAAGCGUGGGGA
rnacentral:rRNA from 1 species